UACGAAGGGGGCUAGCGUUGCUCGGAAUCACUGGGCGUAAAGCGCACGUAGGCGGAUUGUUAAGUCAGGGGUGAAAUCCUGGAGCUCAACUCCAGAACUGCCUUUGAUACUGGCGAUCUUGAGUCCGGGAGAGGUGAGUGGAACUGCGAGUGUAGAGGUGAAAUUCGUAGAUAUUCGCAAGAACACCAGUGGCGAAGGCGGCUCACUGGCCCGUUACUGACGCUGAGGCACGAAAGCGUGGGGAGCAAACAGG
rnacentral:rRNA from 1 species